CCAGUAGUGGGGGACAACAUUCGGAAACGGAUGCUAAUACCGCAUACGCCCUACGGGGAAAGCGGGGGAUCUUCGGACCUCGCGCUAUUGGAUGAGCCCAAGUCGGAUUAGCUAGUUGGUGAGGUAAUUGCUCACCAAGGCGACGAUCCGUAGCUGGUCUGAGAGGACGAUCAGCCACACUGGGACUGAGACACGGCCCAGACUCCUACGGGAGGCAGCAGUGGGGAAUAUUGGACAAUGGGCGCAAGUGAUCCAGCAAUGCCGCGUGUGUGAAGAAGGCCUGCGGGUUGUAAAGCACUUUCAGUAGAGAAGAAAAGCCUACGGUUAAUAACCGUGAGUCUUGACGUAACCUACAGAAGAAGCACCGGCUAACUCCGUGCCAGCAGCCGCGGUAAUACGGAGGGUGCGAGCGUUAAUCGGAAUUACUGGGCGUAAAGCGCGCGUAGGGGCUUUGUAAGUCGGAUGUGAAAUCCCCGGGCUUAACCUGGGAACUGCAUUCGAUACUGCUUAGCUAGAGUAUGGUAGAGGGAAGUGGAAUUCCGGGUGUAGCGGUGAAAUGCGUAGAUAUCCGGAGAACACCAGUGGCGAAGGGACUUCCUGGGCCAAUACUGACGCUGAGGUGCGAAAGGUGGGGAGCAAACAGGAUUAGAUACCCUGGUAGUCCACGCCGUAAACGAUGAGAACUAGAUGUCGGGAGGAUUUGCCUUUCGGUGUCGCAGCUAACGCGUUAAGUUCUCCGCCUGGGGAGUACGCCGGCAACGUAA
rnacentral:rRNA from 1 species